GAUGAACGCUGGCGGCGUGCUUAACACAUGCAAGUCGAACGAAGCACUUUGAUCGAUUUCUUCGGAUUGAAAUUUUAGUGACUGAGUGGCGGACGGGUGAGUAACGCGUGGGUAACCUGCCUCACACAGGGGGAUAACAGUUGGAAACGGCUGCUAAUACCGCAUAAGCGCACAGUACCGCAUGGUACGGUGUGAAAAACUCCGGUGGUGUGAGAUGGACCCGCGUCUGAUUAGCUAGUUGGCAGGGCAACGGCCUACCAAGGCGACGAUCAGUAGCCGACCUGAGAGGGUGACCGGCCACAUUGGGACUGAGACACGGGCCCAAACUCCUACGGGAGGCAGCAGUGGGGAAUAUUGGCACAAUGGGGGAAACCCUGGAUGCAGCGACGCCGCGUGAGCGAA
rnacentral:rRNA from 1 species